GUGUGUUGCACAAAGUGUCUCACCCCAUGGGGUACCAGACAUUAGCAUGUCCCGAGUCAUUUGCUGGAACCAACUUUCGUACAAUGGAGGAAGAAGUCAAAAAGAAAGUUGAUACGUAUGCUAGUGAGCUUUUAUCAUGUUAUGAAGAUUUUGAAAGUGAAGGGGUACAUUGUUUAAGUUCUAGAGAGCUUCCAAAGUACUCUUAACAAAUGCAUGCUAUAACUC
rnacentral:sRNA from 1 species